rnacentral:rRNA from 1 species
CGGACGGGUGAGUAAUGUCUGGGAAACUGCCUGAUGGAGGGGGAUAACUACUGGAAACGGUAGCUAAUACCGCAUAAUGUCGCAAGACCAAAGAGGGGGACCUUCGGGCCUCUUGCCAUCGGAUGUGCCCAGAUGGGAUUAGCUUGUUGGUGGGGUAACGGCUCACCAAGGCGACGAUCCCUAGCUGGUCUGAGAGGAUGACCAGCCACACUGGAACUGAGACACGGUCCAGACUCCUACGGGAGGCAGCAGUGGGGAAUAUUGCACAAUGGGCGCAAGCCUGAUGCAGCCAUGCCGCGUGUAUGAAGAAGGCCUUCGGGUUGUAAAGUACUUUCAGCGGGGAGGAAGGGAGUAAAGUUAA